GAUGAACGCUGACGGCAUGCUUAACACAUGCCAGUCAACUGGAAUUUGGGUUUUUACCUUCGGUUUGGGUGGCGGACGGGUGAGUAACGCGUAAAGAACUUGCCUCACAGCUAGGGACAACAUUUGGAAACGAAUGCUAAUACCUAAUAUUAUGAUAAUAGGGCAUCCUAUAAUUAUGAAAGCUAUCAGCGCUGUGAGAGAGCUUUGCGUCCCAUUAGCUAGUUGGCGAGGUAGCGUCUCACCCAGGCGACGAUGGGUAGCCGGCCUGAGAGGGUGAUCGGCCACAAGGUGACUCGGACACGGCCCGUACGCCUUCGUGAGGCAGCGGCGGGGAAUUUUGGGCACUGGACCAAGAGUCUGAUCCAGCUAUUCGGUGUGCACGAUGAUGUUUUUCGGAAUGAACAGUUGUUUCAGUUGGGAAGAAAGAAAUGACGGUACCAACAGAAGAAGCGACGGCUAACUACGUG
rnacentral:rRNA from 1 species